rnacentral:rRNA from 1 species
CCGCGGGAUUAGAGUUUGAUCCUGGCUCAGAGCGAACGCUGGCGGCAGGCCUAAUACAUGCAAGUCGAACGGAUCCUUCGGGAUUAGUGGCGGACGGGUGAGUAACACGUGGGAACGUGCCCUUUGGUUCGGAACAACUCAGGGAAACUUGAGCUAAUACCGGAUGUGCCCUUCGGGGGAAAGAUUUAUCGCCAUUGGAGCGGCCCGCGUCUGAUUAGCUAGUUGGUGGGGUAAAGGCCCACCAAGGCGACGAUCAGUAGCUGGUCUGAGAGGAUGAUCAGCCACACUGGGACUGAGACACGGCCCAGACUCCUACGGGAGGCAGCAGUAGGGAAUCUUGCGCAAUGGGCGAAAGCCUGACGCAGCCAUGCCGCGUGAAUGAUGAAGGUCUUAGGAUUGUAAAAUUCUUUCAGCGGGGACGAUAAUGACGGUACCCGCAGAAGAAGCCCCGGCUAACUUCGUGCCAGCAGCCGCGGUAAUACGAAGGGGGCUAGCGUUGCUCGGAAUUACUGGGCGUAAAGGGCGCGUAGGCGGAUGUUUAAGUCAGAGGUGAAAGCCCAGGGCUCAACCUUGGAACUGCCUUUGAUACUGGACAUCUUGAGUACGGGAGAGGUGAGUGGAACUCCGAGUGUAGAGGUGAAAUUCGUAGAUAUUCGGAAGAACACCAGUGGCGAAGGCGACUCACUGGCCCGUUACUGACGCUGAGGCGCGAAAGCGUGGGGAGCAAACAGGAUUAGAUACCCUGGUAGUCCACGCUGUAAACGAUGAGUGCUAGUUGUCGGCAUGCAUGCAUGUCGGUGACGCAGCUAACGCAUUAAGCACUCCGCCUGGGGAGUACGGUCGCAAGAUUAAAACUCAAAGGAAUUGACGGGGGCC